rnacentral:rRNA from 1 species
GAUGAACGCUGGCGGCGUGCCUAACACAUGCAAGUCGAGCGAACAGACGAGAAGCUUGCUUCUUUGAUGUUAGCGGCGGACGGGUGAGUAACACGUGGAUAACCUACCUAUACGACUGAGAUAACUUCGGGAAACCGGAGCUAAUACCGGAUGAUAUUUUGAACCGCAUGGUUCAAAGGUGAAAGACGGUCUUUCUGUCACUUAUAGAUGGAUCCGCGCUGCAUUAGCUAGUUGGUAAGGUAACGGCUUACCAAGGCAACGAUGCGUAGCCGACCUGAGAGGGGGGUCGGCCCCACUAGAACGGAACCGCGGCCCGGACGACUAAGGGACGGGAGAGUAGGGAAACGUACGCAGUGGGCGGAAGCAUUGCGGAAAAAAGCCAAGUAGGGUGAAGAAGUCUUGCGAUCGGAAAACUCUACUACUAGGGUAAAACAAAUGUGUAAGUAACUGGUGACUUUUUGACGGUAACUAAUCAAAAAGCCACGGCUAACUACGUG